AGUGAACGCUGGCGGUAGGCCUAACACAUGCAAGUCGAACGGCAGCACAGUAAGAGCUUGCUCUUACGGGUGGCGAGUGGCGGACGGGUGAGGAAUACAUCGGAAUCUACUUUUUCGUGGGGGAUAACGUAGGGAAACUUACGCUAAUACCGCAUACGACCUACGGGUGAAAGCAGUGGAUCUUCGGACCUUUCGCGAUUGAAUGAGCCGAUGUCGGAUUAGCUAGUUGGCGGGGUAAAGGCCCACCAAGGCGACGAUCCGUAGCUGGUCUGAGAGGAUGAUCAGCCACACUGGAACCGAGACACGGUCCAGACUCCUACGGGAGGCAGCAGUGGGGAAUAUUGGACAAUGGGCGCAAGCCUGAUCCAGCCAUACCGCGUGGGUGAAGAAGGCCUUCGGGUUGUAAAGCCCUUUUGUUGGGAAAGAAAAGCAGCAGGUUAAUACCCCGCUGUUCUGACGGUACCCAAAGAAUAAGCACCGGCUAACUUCGUG
rnacentral:rRNA from 1 species